GCCAGGCAUGGUGGUGCAUGCCUGUAAUCUAAGUGGCUCCGGAGGCUGAGGUAGGAGGAUUGAAAGUUUUGAUAGCCUUAUCAAAAGCAAGGUGCUAAGCAACUCAGUGAGGCCCUGUCUCUA
rnacentral:sRNA from 1 species